rnacentral:misc_RNA from 1 species
UCCUGGUUAACCCAGGCAGUCUCGUUAGAGUUCCCACCUUAAAUGCUGGCAACUAACGAUAAGGGUUGCGCUCGUUGCGGGACUUAACCCAACACCUCACGGCACGAGCUGACGACAGCCAUGCAGCACCUGUGCAGCGGUCCCGAAGGAAGACGCUAUCUCUAGCGCUGUCCACUGCAUGUCAAACCUGGGUAAGGUUCUUCGCGUUGCAUCGAAUUAAACCACAUGCUCCACUGCUUGUGCGGGUCCCCGUCAAUUCUUUUGAGUUUCAGCCUUGCGACUGUACUUCCCAGGCGGUAUACUUAACGCGUUAGCUCCGGCACAGCCAGGGUUGAUUCCGGCUACACCAAGUAUACAUCGUUUACGGCAAGGACUAC